rnacentral:rRNA from 1 species
GUGAAAUCCCGGGGCUUAACACCGGAAGGGCAUAUGAAACUAUGAGACUUGAUUAUGGGAGAGGGAAGCGGAAUUCCUGGUGUAGCGCUGAAAUGAGUAGAUAUCAGGAGGAACACCGGUGACGAAGGCGGCUUCCUGGACCAAUACUGACGCUGAGGCGCGAAGGCGUGGGGAUCGAACAGGAUUAGAUACCCUGGUAGUCCACGCAGUAAACGUUGAUCACUAGGUGUAGCGGAUAUUGACCCCUGCUGUGCCGGAGUUAACGCAUUAAGUGAUCCGCUUGGGGAGUACGAUCGCAAGAUUAAAACUCAAAGGAAUAGACGGGGGCCCGCACAAGCGAUGGAGCAUGUGGUUUAAUUCGACGCAACGCGAAGAACCUUACCUGGACUUGACAUGUCGGGAAUUACGUUGAAAGACGGGAGUGCCUUUUACGAGGAUGUCGAUGACAGGUGAUGCAUGGCUGUCGUCAGUUCGUGUCGUGAGAUGUUGGGUUAAGUCCCGCAACGAGCGCAACCCAUAUGGUCUGUUACCAUCAGAUGAUGCUGGGGACUUGGGAGAUACUGCCCCGGCUUACGGGGAGGAAGGUGGGGAUAUCGUCAAGUCAUCAUGGCCGUUAUGUCUAGGGGUACACACGUGCUACAAUGGUAUGUACAAAGGGAAGCGAUCCCGCGAGGAGGAGGUAAUCACGAUAAGCAUAUCAAAGUUCGGAUGGGAGUCUGCUAAUCGACUCAGAGAAGUAGGAGUCGAUAGUGAUCGAGGAUCAGCAUGCCGCGGCGAAUACGUUCCCGGGCGUUGACACACCACCCGUCACACAAUGAGUGUCACUGUACCAGAAGUCAAUAGGUAACCAGCAAGGGGGUACGCGCAUAAGGUAUG